rnacentral:tRNA from 11 species
GAUCUUAUCGUCUAAUGGUUACGACAUCAACUUUUCAUGUUGAAAAUGUUGGUUCAAUCCCAACUAAGAUUA